rnacentral:rRNA from 1 species
AUUGAACGCUGGCGGCAGGCCUAACACAUGCAAGUCGAACGAGUGGCGGACGGGUGAGUAAUGUCUGGGAAACUGCCCGAUGGCGGGGGAUAACUACUGGAAACGGUAGCUAAUACCGCAUACCAUCGGAUGUGCCCAGAUGGACUUAGAUAGUAGGGGGGGUAACGGCUCACCUAGGCGACGAUCCCUAGCUGGUCUGAGAGGAUGACCACCCACACUAGAACUGAUACGCGGUCCAGACGCCGACUGGAGGCAGCAGUGGGGAAUAUUGCCCAAGUGGCGCAAGCCGGAUGCAGCCAUGCCGCGUGUAUGAAGAAGGCCUUCGGGUUGUAAAGUACUUUCAGCGAGGAGGCGUUACUCGCAGAAGAAGCACCGGCUAACUCCGUGCCAGCAGCCGCGGUAAUAC